UACGUAGGGUGCAAGCGUUGUCCGGAAUUAUUGGGCGUAAGGGCUCGUAGGCGGUCCAUCGCGUCGGGAGUGAAAAGCUGGGGCUUAACCCCAGUCCUGCUUCCGAUACGGGUGGACUAGAGGUAGGUAGGGGAGAACGGAAUUCCUGGUGUAGCGGUGAAAUGCGCAGAUAUCAGGAGGAACACCGGUGGCGAAGGCGGUUCUCUGGGCCUUACCUGACGCUGAGGAGCGAAAGCAUGGGGAGCAAACAGG
rnacentral:rRNA from 1 species